AAAUUUUUAGUAUAAUCAGUACACUUGACUUCCAAUCAAAAAGUUCUAAAAGAAAUUUUA
rnacentral:tRNA from 1 species